AUUGAACGCUGGCGGCAUGCCUAACACAUGCAAGUCGAACGGCAGCACAAUAAAGAUUUCGGUCUUUAUGGGUGGCGAGUGGCGGACGGGUGAGUAACGCGUAGGAAUCUGUCCUGGAGAGUGGGAUAACCCGAGGAAACUCGGGCUAAUACUGCAUGACAUUGAGAGAUCAAAAGCAGGGGACCGGAAGGCCUUGCGCUCUGGGGUGAGCCUACGUCGGAUGAGCUAGUUGGUGGGGUAAAGGCCUACCAAGGCGACGAUCCGUAGCUGGUCUGAGAGGAUGACCAGCCACACUGGGACUGAGACACGGCCCAGACUCCUACGGGAGGCAGCAGUGGGGAAUCUUGGACAAUGGGGGAAACCCUGAUCCAGCGAUGCCGCGUGUGUGAAGAAGGCCUUCGGGUUGUAAAGCACUUUAGGUGGGGAAGAAAGGUAGCGAGUGAAUAACUUUCUGCUGUGACGGUACCCACAGAAUAAGCACCGGCUAACUCUGUGCCAGCAGCCGCCGCGG
rnacentral:rRNA from 1 species